UACGGAGGGUGCAAACGUUGCUCGGAAUCAUUGGGCGUAAAGCGCACGUAGGCGGCCUGUUAAGUCGGGUGUGAAAUCCCUCGGCUCAACCGAGGAAGUGCACUCGAAACUGGCGGGCUUGAAUAUGGAAGAGGGUCGCGGAAUUCCCGGUGUAGAGGUGAAAUUCGUAGAUAUCGGGAGGAACACCAGUGGCGAAGGCGGCGACCUGGGCCAAUAUUGACGCUGAGGUGCGAAAGCGUGGGGAGCAAACAGG
rnacentral:rRNA from 1 species